rnacentral:rRNA from 1 species
UACGAAGGGGGCUAGCGUUGCUCGGAAUCACUGGGCGUAAAGCGCACGUAGGCGGCUUGUUAAGUCAGGGGUGAAAUCCUGGAGCUCAACUCCAGAACUGCCUUUGAUACUGGCGAGCUUGAGUCCGGGAGAGGUGAGUGGAACUGCGAGUGUAGAGGUGAAAUUCGUAGAUAUUCGGAAGAACACCAGUGGCGAAGGCGACUUACUGGACACAUAUUGACGCUGAGGUGCGAAAGCGUGGGGAGCAAACAGG